AACCACAUCACGUUGAUACACCGGUUCUGGUACAAUCACCGAAGUUAAGCAACGUCGAGCUUGGUCAGUACUUAGAUGGGUAACUACUUAGAAAUACCAGUUGCUGUAA